UACAGAGGUGGCAAGCGUUGUUCGGAAUUACUGGGCGUAAAGGGCGCGUAGGCGGUCUCGUAAGUCCUGUGUGAAAUCCCCCGGCUCAACUGGGGAACUGCACAGGAAACUGCGGGACUUGAGUUCGGGAGAGGGAAGCGGAAUUCCGGGUGUAGCGGUGAAAUGCGUAGAGAUCGGGAGGAACACCAGAGGCGAAGGCGGCGACCUGGACAGGUACUGACACUCAACUACGAAAGCGUGGGGAGCAAACAGG
rnacentral:rRNA from 1 species